AUCCGCCAGAGCACCUCGCGGAGCUCGCGGCUGCACGUGGAGCCCCUGUCAGCCCCGCCCCGGACACAACCAAGCAUCCCGCGGAGGGGUGCCGCGGGUCGGGAUCGGAAAAAAGCGGAGGGUACCAUGCCUCCGGGAUGCUGCAGAGGAAGACGGGCCGCAGAUGGAUGCUGUGUGUGGACUGCCGCAAUCUAGGCCUUUCCUGGCGCAACGGAGUCGGAGGCGCGAAGGGACACUGCCAGUUCCCCCUGCUUCGGGCAGAAUGGCCUCUCCGAAGCGCGGCCCCCGCUCCCCUGGAACGCUCCCCGCCGGGUUCAGUCGCGCUGGCCGGGGGCGGCUGUUCGGCCUGAGCAAUGUCUUACUAAUUCGGAACGACUAAGGGGAGGCCACUCAGAGGAGGCGGUCCCAGCGGAGGAGGCUUCGUGACUCCCUGCUUCCCUCCGGUCCUCCUGUCCCGCACCCACGUGCCCAUCACCACUCGGGACGCCGCGCCCUCGCUGGUUUUAUACUGGAUGGAGGGGGCGCCUCCGAGGAGCCCAGCCUCCCGCGCUAACUCUGCCUCUCCGGUUCUUCAGGUAGACACAGCCUCUGUCUGCGGUAGCUUUAGUGCCUGUAGUCCCUAAGAAAUUGUAUCUGCCCGCUCCGGAUGGGGCCGGAGGGGCGCAGCGAGUGACGGAAGGGACCAGUGGAAGACGUUUCUAUGGCUCUAAGAAUCGAGUCAGGAGAUGGAGGUUUCUUCGUCUCUUUUCACUCGUCAGGGUGGGGAAAGGGGCGAGUUACGCCACCCCGGUCAGCCUGCUCUUGUUGGGACUGGAGACGGAGAGAGAAACACAGCCUCCACCUGGCGCUAAGGCCCGCGAUCCACAGAGCGCCACCCUCCUGGGCUUCUUAUGUUGACUGCUGACCCAGUGACCCUGGCCAGCCGGGGCAGUAACGCCCCACCGAGCCCCUCACUAAAGGAGUAAUGGUGUGUAAGUUUCUUAGUAUGACAGUUGGAUGAGGAGACAAGGAAGCAGAGGAGGACCUGAGAAGGACACUACCCAAAAUCAGAUUUAUGCUGACAGAAGCCAACUUUAAAAUUGCCCGGCUCUUUUGAUCCAAACACAAAUAUGUAAAACUAGCGGUGAAAGUAUGCCUGUCUGUUCCUUGUUUGCAUGGCAAAAGAAAUGCAGUUUUCUGUCCGUUAGAACUUAGGUUCACUUGGAAUAGCUGUCUUCACAGCUUUUACAUUUUGGGAACCAUGAUAUUAGGACUGAAUAUUAGGAGCAGUGUGAUCUUUUGUCUUUUCACAAUUGAUAAUAUUCAGAGUUUAUCUGAUAAAGCAGAGUAGUUUCCAAGGAUACUGGACUUAACGAUUUAAAGUCAUGACUCCAUUAUGGAAAGAAGGGCAAGAACUAUGUUUCUAUAACUGCCUUCUAAAUUAGUUGUAUUUAAUUAAUAGAUAAACUUAUAAAUUGAUAAAUAGUUGGUUACAAUGUAGGCAUUUAAAAGUGGAGGAUUGCACUUUUUCAUUUUUAUCGUUUGUAAGGAUUCAGAAUGAGUGCGUAUUGAACACUAGCUUGUAAGAUCUUAAAUUGAUGUCUAAUGAGAUAAUCCAGCAUUUCUUACAUAAAGAUAAAUGAAAUAACAGCAAUAUAUUACUGUCUUGGAAAACAGUUCCUAAAUCUGAUUUCUUUUCAGGCUUUGUGCAUAAAAACUAGCAGAUAAAGAACAACAUAUUGUUAGAUUGUGAAACAUUGCUGCAACAUAAAAUAAUUAGGUAAUCCAAGGAGCAAAAUACUUUAAACAGCUUUUUUUAGGAUAUGUUUAAGAUUGGGCUUACUGUCUAGAGUUAGACUGUAGUAAAAUUUACUAUGAAUAUUUUUUAUAGACUCUCUCAUAAUACAUUUUGUAAACUAAGUACUUUAAAACUAUUAAAUCAGAUUUAUAAACGCCUAAAACAUCAUAAAAUUCUGCAAGGAUUGUUUUGGGAAACAACAUAUAAUCCACUCAAGAUGGAAAUGUAGCUAAAAAAGGAUGGGUUGUUUUAGAUAUUUCUUAGCCCAGGGAAUGUUUUUCUGCUCCUAUUACUAUAAAGAAUGCAGGUAAUAUAGGUAAUCAAAGUUAUAUUGUAUGAUGAGAUGUUUUCCUAAAUAUGAGACAUUGCCCAUCAGUGAAAUAUCAUCCUUAAUGCAUCUUAAACUAUUACUUUUUCCAUGGCAUGUAAAUAUUAACAUAACUCUAUAAUUUUGCUUUUGUUUUUCUUAGGAAGAAGUUAUUCAUGCCAUGAAUUUAUUGAAUACACCCAUUCAGCAGGCAUAGGGUUAGACUCUGGGAUUCAAAGUCAUCCCCACGUCACACAGGAUGACACUGGAGCUCAAGGAGGUCACUGUGUUUGCCGCAGAUCACAUGGCUGUAUGGCAGAGCCAGCAAUGAAACCGAGUAAAAUGACUGUGAGCAACCUGAAGGUGAGGAACGCCUUACUCAUCUCUGUCACCUACAUCUGCUUCAGGACCAGGGAUAUGAAAUGACUCCUUACUGGUGUGGCUAAUGGAUGGGAGAUCUUUGGAGAACAAAAAGCCUUUCUGAGACCUCUGAGUUACACCAAGAAAAGCGCCAUCCAACCCUGCCUCUGGGUGGGGCUCUGCUUCCCACUGGAAGUUCUGACGGCACAGGCUCAGCCGGCCACAGAAGGACUCAGCCACUGAAGGGACAGCUCCUAACAAUGUCUGCCUUAACAGAGCCUGGCCACCGGAGACCUGCUCCCCAGAGCCAGGUGGAGCCCCGGGACCUGAAGAGGAACACGGGCUGCAGUGCCCUGCCAUUGGCCGGUUGGCCUCUCAGCUGUGAUUUGAGCAGCUCAAUUAAAAGGAUAGGCAGCUGCUGUCUAAAUUUAAAUUGCAACAUGGUAAAACAAAUCUGGGCAAUUUUAGUGUAUGCUCUUUAGCAUCUUAGUGUCUAGAAACACAAAAGUGCUUUUGAGAGUCAUGCUGGGAUGGAAAUGUGAGUGAGUGGCAGUUCGCAGCUUCAUUUUUCAGCAGCUGACGUUCCAACUGGUUUCCAGAUCAGGAAAAAAACCUCACUCUGAUCUGACUAGAAAUUGUUUUUUUUCUUUUAAGCCUAUCUACUUUUCUCAUUGGGUCCCUUCAAACCCUUAUUCUCUGGUGGUGCAACAAAUCAGAAAUGCCUACUGCUAUUUGGUAACACAGCUCUGUCUGGGCCCACAAGUCAGGAACUAUCAGCCACACAUGCUGCUAGAACAGUCCAAUUCCACUUUGUGGUACAUCAGGAAUGAUGCAACAGAGGCAUCUCACAAAAGCAAUGAAUGAACAAACAAACCUCUAUUAUUUCAGUAAUAAGGACUUGACUAAAAAAGGAGGUAAUUUACUUAGAAAUAUUUUGAUCCAUAUAAGUAUUACUGUUGCAGGUUGCAUGAUUUUCCCCUUUACAAAUAUGGGUAUAAUUAGCUACAAGUAAAAAAACUGAGGUUUCUUAAACACACAGGAAUCUGAGGUAUAGAACAUAUCCUAAUCCCAGGCACUCGGUUAAAGAGCCAUGCAGAACAUGGGAAUAAAUGGCUCCUAUCAAGUGCUGAAAUUACAUAAGAUAAAUCAUAGCUAAUGCUCUAGAAAGUUCCUGCUACAAAUGCCCAAAAAGUUCUUUAUUUAAAAUGACAUAAACACUGUAAGUGAGGGAGUGAGGCAGAAGGGAACAGAGAAUGAAGAGACUAUGGAUUGUUUCCCAUCCCUUAUUCAGGAUAGCAUGAUUCUAAGCCCAAAUUUUCAGAGUUUCUGGGCAGUGGAAAUGAGUUAUACCAUGAAGGAAGAAAAGGGAAGUCUCCUGGAAAAGGGAAGCUAGCUUCCUUAAGGACAGCCACCCUGAUAAACUGGCAAGUUUCUUGUAAGUAUUCAUGGAAAAAAAAUCUCCGCCAACAUCCAUGAUCAAAACAGCUUCCUCAUUUAGGUCAACACAUCAAAAACCAUUGACUCUCGCAGUGAAAUCAACCUAGAAACAGCUCACUUCACUGCUUGCUGCCCUGGCUUCCAAGCCAGGUGAAGGUGCACAGGACUCAGACCAUCUGUGUACACACGGAAGCUGUUAGGGCCUCCAUGUUUCUAUGACCUCCGAAAUCUUCCUCUGUUAACGUGAAGACAUACUAAAUGCUGAGGCUUUUCUAUGUUCAUACAAACAAAAACUAAUCUAAAAAUAGUUGAGUAGCACAGACCUUGCUUCAUUUAAAACUUUUCUCUUUCCAUACAUACUACAUUAUACUACUUCCACCUUAGUUUAUAUCUUUAAUAUUUCCCCACCAUUUCCCAAAAUGUGUAAUUGCUGAAGCUCUUGAAAUACAACUCCAGCAAUAUUUAGGCAGAUUUAAAAAGACACUACUGUGAAUGUGAGCUGCUUCUUUUUCUCACCCUGCAAACUUGGCACCUUCAUGUGCCAUAAAUCUUGAUGUGGCAGCCACAGAACCGGACUGUUUUCUGCUGGGACCUGUACAUUUGCCACCGACAUGGAGCCCUGCCCAGGUCUGAGAACACCAUGCUCUCCGGCACUCAGGGCAACCAAGCCAUUGUGUCCACAACGUAUCAGAAAGUUUUCAAUUUAACAAGCUCAGUUCAUAUAUGAGAAUCAAGGAAGAUCAACUAGAAAAAAGUGCCUCCUUGCACAUCUGCCUUGAUUGGGAAAGCUGGCUGUCAGAGAAAGGAUUCUAGAAAGGCAGUUUAUGGAAAACCCAAAGAACUAAACGCCUACAAAAAAGGUACACAGAUUCUAGAAUGCUGCCCUAUUUUAUUCUGCACUCCAGGCCUUGUUUUCCCCCUACUUUCACUGUCUCUCUUGCCUUCCCUGAGUGUAGACAGCUUUGGAAUAGUGCCUAUGAGCAUAGUCCUUGGAGAUAGACUGCCUGGGCUCAGGCUUUUUGCACAAUUUCAGACACAUAACAUAACGUGUCCCCUCUGCAAAGCUCUUUGUUGCUUGGCUAUGAGACCGUGACUAGAGCUAGCAUAGAUGGGUCUUUCCAACCAUAAAGUAAAAGCAACUUUAGAACUGAAUUCCAGUAUCUGCCCAUGGGGCUUUGGGCAGAUUUGGAAUAGUAUUACUAAGCUAAGUAGUGCUUUACAUAUAUAUCGCCUUGUGAAAUCCACAAGAUACCCAUAAGAGAUAGUGGCAAACUUUACACUAGUUAUCCCCCAACUAAUCAUGCCUCCUAGGACCAGGGCCCCUGGGUAGUUUCCUCCCAUAAUCACUCUGGGCUUGGUCCUGUGCUUAUUUUGGCCAAUUUGAUCAGCAAGUGUGAGAUGAGUAGAGGCUUCAUAGGUGUUUACACAUCAAAGCUUGUACCCUUGGAAUGCUGCCGCCGCUGCCCCGUGAGAAAGUCUAGCCUUCUUAAGGACGAAAGAGCUCAUACAGCAAGGGAGGCCCGGCGGUUCCAGCAGAGCGCAGCUCCUGUAUGAUCUUCAGGCUGAACGCAGCUGCAUGAAUGAACCCAGGUCAUACUAGCAAUUGAACUAGCCUGCCAACUCACAGAUCCAUGAGAAAUAAUAUGUUGUUGCUUUAAGUCACUACAUUUCAGGGUUGUUUCUUGCUCUAUGCUGCUGAGUACCUAAAACAGAAAUUGAUGAGUAGGGUGCUGACAUAACAAAACCUUAAACCUGUGGCACUGCCUAUAGGACCAGAUGGUGGGCAGAAGCAGGACAGGCACUGAGGAAAUUGUUCUUGGAGGCUGGAAAAAGGGUGGCCUGUAUUGCUGAAACCAUCAGCAAAACUGCCAUCUGUAGUAAUUAGUAAGGUAAAAAACACAUAUCUAAUAAACCUGCAGGCCUGGCUACAGAAAUUUCUGGGCAGAAUGCUAAAAGCAUCAAUGAAUUUUUCAGCUUCACAUAGUAAAUUGCAAGAAGAAAAAGGGAUAAGUUAAGUACAAACCACUGAGUUUGAAGGCAGAACUUAGAGGAAACAAGGAGGGCCCAGGCUUUGUUAGGUUGGAAAGUAAAACUGUUCCUUAUUUCCAUUCUUUCUCACUGGCAAAGGAUCUUCAAGGUAAGAAAUGAUCACAGGGUAAAGAUUAAUCAAGGAUGUUGGAGUAAGGGCCUUUAUUAAGACCUCUAAAAGACUUGAGGAAGUGCUAAGCAGACCCUACCAACUAUACGGAAGGCUCCUAAGAUUCAUAGAAACCUGACUCCAAAGAACUCCAAGUAAUUGAGGCCAGGCUGUCCAGUAUGGUAGUCACUAGUCACAUGCAGCAACUGGGCACUUGAAAUGUGGCUAGUCUGAAUUGGGAUGUAUUAGAAGGGUAUAAUGUACACUGCAUUU